rnacentral:rRNA from 1 species
CUACGGGCGGCACCAGUGAGGAAUAUUGCACAAUGGGGGGAACCCUGAUGCAGCAACGCCGCGUGGAGGAUGACGCAUUUCGGUGUGUAAACUCCUUUUAUAUGUCAAGAAAAUGACGGUAGCAUAUGAAUAAGCACCGGCUAACUCCGUGCCAGCAGCCGCGGUAAUACGGAGGGUGCAAGCGUUACUCGGAAUCACUGGGCGUAAAGGACGCGUAGGCGGGCUUGUAAGUCAGGUGUGAAAUCCUACAGCUUAACUGUAGAACUGCACUUGAAACUACGAGUCUAGAGUAUGGGAGGGGAAGAUGGAAUUAGUGGUGUAGGGGUAAAAUCCGUAGAUAUCACUAGGAAUACCUAAAGCGAAGGCGAUCUUCUGGAACAUAACUGACGCUAAGGCGUGAAAGCGUGGGGAGCAAACAGGAUUAGAUACCCUAGUAGUC